CACAGGUGGAGACAUACGCACAUACGAAACGGCAAAAAAGACGUUAAAAUCUGGUUUAAGAGCAAAAAAACUACCUGUGCCAAUCAGUUUUUGCCAUUUAUGGGCUUUACCCUAUAAAAGAAAACCAUUUUAUGCAUUUAAAUGACCUUACACGUUAUCAGUUUAUUAAGCGUUUAGACUAUGUAGACACACUCACUGUGCACUAAAAUUAAAAAAAUUGGUUAACACGACCACUCGUAGUGGCUUCACUCAGAGGUUGGAGAAGACAACCGGUGGACUAAACAUCAAGCCUCUGCACGAUUCAGGUAAGUGGAAUAAAAUACAUUGUAAAUAAACAUUAUUAAAACAGAUUGUGAAGUCAUUCAUUCAAAACUUGCUAUGACCUAAGCCUAAAUGACUUAAUUUCUUUUUAGAAUUAAGACAACCUUAGCAGGAGAGCCCCAGCAGUAACUUUCUCUCAAGCAGAUGAGCAAUAAGUUGCUUUGUAUGAACACCACCCUAACAAUCAAGUAGCCUGUUAACAGUAGACCAAAGGUAUGAUGAUCAAUUAUAAAUGCAAUAUGGUUGAAAGCUUGACAAAAAUGUAGCUUGAAGGAGAAGGGACUGCUGAGUAACAAAGUCCUGGUAUGCAGACGACGAUACUAUUACACUGACAAGAGUGUAAUGAUGAUGGAGACACAAGCCAGAGAAAGGGGGGACCAAACACCAGGCCAGAAUUCUGCAUGAGUCAGAUCCAGUGGGUGCAGAUCAUCAUACAGAUGGUUCAAGUGUGGAUCCACCUAAUAUUCAAGAUUUUCUGUCCUGGGACACUCGGCUAACCAUCAAGAAAGAACACACUCCAGUGGGCAUCCUUUAUCCAUCCAGACCCUCAUACAGAUGGUUGGAGUUUUGAUUCACCUAAAGUACCAUGCAAGAGCACUCAUUUUCCCUCUUGAGACCAUGGUGUGACCUGCAAGGUCGAAUGGAGACUGUAAGCGAGACAAUCUUGGAGUCACCUGCAUUCACUGGUCCAGUUGUUAGUCCAAUUACAGAUGGAGAUUAUAGAAGAGGAUGAUGUCUUUUCUCCAACAUCUUUCUAGACUGAUAAAAGAUCUAGACAGGCUUGAACAAAAGUUAACAGACAGAGGGGCUUAUAUAGAGAAUGGUGAGCAGCUACACAUAAAAGAAGAACAUGGAGAAUCUGCCCAGAGGUGUUAACCAGCAAUGCAGCUAUACAACUAAAGUGAUGCAGGCGGAAACAAUAAUGCAGCUGCUGCAGAUGAAGAAUCCGUCCGUCUACCACUGAAGGAGACACGGAAAAUCGGGAAAAGAUGUUCUUUGCCCGAGG